AUUUUGGCUUAACAGACAGAAUUGGCUUAUUUAGACAUGAUUCGUAUGAACAGUCAGAGCUUCUGCUUCUAAACUGCAAAGCCAUAUGAACAUUUUCCCUGACGCCAUCAUAGUAUUGUCUGUAUAGAAUCAGAACUAGCGAUGCGCGAUUCACGAAAAGAUUCGGUCUUGUGCUUGUAAUGUUAUGUAUACAACAGGCUAUAUGUUUUGUUUCACAUAUCAUAUCUGAAAAUAAAACUAUAUAUAUAGAGUUGUGAGUUUUUUUUUUUUUUUUUGUUUUUACCCCUCUCUCAAUGAAUCGGGUUCGCAAACGUUCUGAAUCAGUUCGCGAUUCAGUUUGAAUCAUUUGGACUGCUUACUCACGCAUUGGAUUGUUUGGAGCUGUUUCUCAUUGGGCAGUAGAAAGUUAAAAGCGUUACAAAACGCGUUUUACUUAUUAACAGAGAGCACGAAUAAGACCGCAAGAUAAACUGGAUAUUUACUUACAUCGAAACCAAACCCGAAAAUGCAUCUUGUCCUGAAAGCGGUGUUUUUUUAUGAGUUCAUAGCCUGCGCUUGAAGCUUGUGAACGACUUCCAGGAUUGUCUUUUCCAUUUGCCCCCCUCAUAGCAGCGGUGACAGAUUCUGCUCUUGGUGUGGGAUCUGCCAUCACACAUCAUCAGAUACGCGGUAUGGAUAGAUCGUCCAUGACGAAAGGCGGCAGGAAGGUAAACACCUGCUAGUCACUCCAACAUAACUGUGAGGCAUUUCUCUGGGGUCAACACUCUGUCUAGGUCAGAGUGACCAAAUAAUGACCUCUCACUGCCGUGACAUCUUGCACAUCUCUCUGGUGUUUUCUACCUCUAGACCAACAGCAGAUUUGUGAGAGGCUUCUGGACUUGCUGACUGUCAGAGAUCUCAAAGUACUCAAGGUUUUUUUUUUUUUUUUCUCAGGAACUGCUGAGAGAACAAAAUAAGAAGCGGAAGUUUGACAGCAGGGACUGACCCAUAACAGUUCAGAUGGAUAAAUUGUCCUUUGGCUUGUAUAGAAAAAAAAUAAGAACUCAAGUUUGAUAGUACUUCCUUUUUCAGUG
ensembl:lncRNA